AAGUUAUAGUCCCCUGGCCUUCUGGCUGGGGUCUUCUAUACCACCCUUUGUUUAUUACACCUUUGUUGCUUUGGCAGGCCUGCCCUCGGGCUGCUGGCUCCGGCCGGCGAGCGCCUGCCAGAGGACCUAAAACUCUGAAUUAUAAUGCCGUCUGAGUACUAUAUAAUAGUUA
rnacentral:misc_RNA from 1 species